rnacentral:rRNA from 1 species
UACGGAAGGCAGCAGUGGGGAAUAUUGCACAAUGGGCGAAAGCCUGAUGCAGCUAUGCCGCGUGUAUGAAGAAGGCCUUAGGGUUGUAAAGUACUUUCAUCGGGGAGGAAAAAACAAAACUAAUAAUUUUAUUUCUUGACGUUACCCGAAAAAGAAGCACCGGCUAACUCCGUGCCAGCAGCCGCGGUAAUACGGAGGGUGCUAGCGUUAAUCAGAAUUACUGGGCGUAAAGAGCACGUAGGUGGUUUUUUUAAAGUCAGAUGUGAAAUCCCUGGGCUUAACCUAGGAACUGCAUUUUGAAACUGAAAUACUAGAGUAUCGUAGAGGGAGGUAGAAUUCUAGGUGUAGCGGUGAAAUGCGUAGAUAUCUGGAGGAAUACCUGUGGCGAAAGCGGCCUCCUAAACGAAUACUGACACUGAGGGUGCGAAAGCGUGGGGAGCAAACGAGGGAUUAGAUACC